rnacentral:rRNA from 1 species
UGGCUGUUCGCCAUUUAAAGUGGUACGCGAGCUGGGUUUAGAACGUCGUGAGACAGUUCGGUCCCUAUCUGCCGUGGGCGCUGGAGAAUUGAGGGGGGCUGCUCCUAGUACGAGAGGACCGGAGUGGACGCAUCACUGGUGUUCGGGUUGUCAUGCCAAUGGCACUGCCCGGUAGCUAAAUGCGGAAGAGAUAAGUGCUGAAAGCAUCUAAGCACGAAACUUGCCCCGAGAUGAGUUCUCCCUGACUCCUUGAGAGUCCUGAAGGAACGUUGAAGACGACGACGUUGAUAGGCCGGGUGUGUAAGCGCAGCGAUGCGUUGAGCUAACCGGUACUAAUGAACCGUGAGGCUUAACCUUACAACGCCGAAG